AUUGAACGCUGGCGGCAGGCCUAACACAUGCAAGUCGAACGGUAACAGGAAGAAGCUUGCUUCUUUGCUGACGAGUGGCGGACGGGUGAGUAAUGUCUGGGAAACUGCCUGAUGGAGGGGGAUAACUACUGGAAACGGUAGCUAAUACCGCAUAACGUCGCAAGACCAAAGAGGGGGACCUUCGGGCCUCUUGCCAUCGGAUGUGCCCAGAUGGGAUUAGCUAGUAGGUGGGGUAACGGCUCACCUAGGCGACGAUCCCUAGCUGGUCUGAGAGGAUGACCAGCCACACUGGAACUGAGACACGGUCCAGACUCCUACGGGAGGCAGCAGUGGGGAAUAUUGCACAAUGGGCGCAAGCCUGAUGCAGCCAUGCCGCGUGUAUGAAGAAGGCCUUCGGGUUGUAAAGUACUUUCAGUGGGGAGGAAGGGAGUAAAGUUAAUACCUGUGCUCAUUGACGUUACCCGCAGAAGAAGCACCGGCUAACUCCGUG
rnacentral:rRNA from 1 species